GAGAUCCCAUCCAAGAGAAAUUUUGUUCUUUAUAGAAGAACAGCUGGUGGCACAGUCUGGUGCUUCAUGUGGCGUUAUCCACUGAUGUCCAAAAUAAACAAGGUGGAUGUUAAAAGUAAGCCCACUGCAAAGCAAAAGCAGCUUGGGUUAACUGGAAAAUUUCAUGAAUCUUCCAAGUUAUCAUCAAAGGUUUGACUAUGACAUGAAGCCUAAAAAUAGUACAGAAGAAGCAGAAUUAAAUGCCACAUCAGCAGCGAACUUGAAGUCAUGUGGCAGACUUUAAAUCUUAAAAACAGAAAUUAAGGAUGCCUCAAAAUUCUUUAAACUUUUCUCAAGCC